AUGAACGCUGGCGGCGUGCCUAAUACCUGCAAGUCGAGCGAACGGACGAGAAGCUUGCUUUUCUGAUGUUAGCGGCGGACGGGUGAGUAACACGUGGAUAACCUACCUAUAAGACUGGGAUAACUUCGGGAAACCGGAGCUAAUACCGGCUAAUAUUUUGAACCGCAUGGUUCAAAAGUGAAAGACGGCCUUGCUGUCACUUAUAGAUGGAUCCGCGCUGCAUUAGCUAGUUGGUCAGGUAACGGCUUACCAAGGCAACGAUGCAUAGCCGACCUGAGAGGGUGAUCGGCCACACUGGAACUGAGACACGGUCCAGACUCCUACGGGAGGCAGCAGUAGGGAAUCUUCCGCAAUGGGCGAAAGCCUGACGGAGCAACGCCGCGUGAGUGAUGAAGGUCUUCGGAUCGUAAAACUCUGUUAUUAGGGAAGAACAUAUGUGUAAGUAACUGUGCACAUCUUGACGGUACCUAAUCAGAAAGCCACGGCUAACUACGUG
rnacentral:rRNA from 1 species